UAGGACACUCUAUACGGAGUUACAAAGGACGACAUUAGACGAAUCAUCUGGAAAGAUGAAUCAAAGAAGGUAAUAAUCCUGUAGUCGAAAAUGUUGUCUCUCUUGAGUGGAUCCUGAGUACGACGGAGCACGUGAAAUUCCGUCGGAAUCUGGGAGGACCAUCUCCUAAGGCUAAAUACUCUCUAGUGACCGAUAGUGAACCAGUACCGUGAGGGAAAGGUGAAAAGCACCCCGGAAGGGGAGUGAAAUAGAACCUGAAACCGUGUGCUUACAAGUAGUCAGAGCCCGUUAAUGGGUGAUGGCGUGCCUUUUGUAGAAUGAACCGGCGAGUUACGAUUUGAUGCAAGGUUAAGCAGUAAAUGUGGAGCCGU
rnacentral:rRNA from 1 species